CCGUGCAGGGGCCUGUGCCCGCGGGGAAAGGGGUGCUGCUGGCCAGUGCUGCGGGGGUUAACCCGACCGGUGCCCCCCCGUAGGUUAGCGCCCAGCUAGCCCACCCCUUAGUCCGGCCCUGACUGCAGCGUCCGCCUUGGUAAAUAACGAGUCUGCCAGGCGGGUUUUCAGAGGGAAGAGCCCCGGCUUUUGUCCCCUGCCCUCUGCAUGCAAAGCCUCUGGCCUGGGCUUUCCCUGGCUGGCUGCCCCAGCUGAGGGUGGGUUCACACGUGGUGCUGCUUUCACUGGGCCUGGAGCCUGUCCACUUUGGUCUGACUGAUGGCAAAGGUCCACCCAGCCCGGUGUGUGGUCUGCAGACAGGGGCAGUGCCAGGUGCCCUAGAGGGAGUGAACAGAACAGGGAAUCACCAAGUGAUCCCUCCCCAUCACACAUUCCCAGCCCCUGACAGACAGAGGCCAGGGACCCCUCCCUGCCCAGCCUGGCUAAUACGCACUGAUGGACCUGCCCUCCAUGAACGUAUCUAGUACCUCAUGAGGAUGCAGGCUGACUGGCCACCACCUUCCCACAACUCCCCAGUGCCCUGUCCCAUACGUGCAGAGUCGUACAGCAGCCCAAAGAGCCCCGGGCUACGCCCCACUCACGCUACGGCCCACAGGGGAGCGCCGUGUCUUGGGCAGGGCUUUGCAGGGCAGCUGCUCACAGCCAGGCUAGACUGACCCACUGCUCAGAUCUGGGUGCUAACGGGCAAACUCUGGGAAAACUCAUCUGCUGAACUCUGAGGGCAGCCAGCAGCUGGCUCCUGAUACCAUCUGGGAUUCAGCCCCCCCGGAAUGGGAGGGACCAUGUGAACUGAACUCACUGUAAGAACAGCCACACUGACCUCACUGAGUCAUCCCCACUCGAUGGCAGCCAGGCUGGCCCCUGCGAUUUCCCAGCCUCACUGGCUGUUCCUUACUCAGGGAUAAUUCUCCAUAACCCCGGGGCACACUCUGCCCAGGGUGGACUCCAGUGCCCAGACUGCAAGUGGCCCAUGAAAUUUGGCAUAAUGCCUAACCCUCCUUGCAGGAGGAGUACCGGUCGUUUGAAUUAGGAGCUUUAAUUCACACUACCUAGUCCUGCCUCGUGUAGCCGUGGGCAGGUAGUUCGAACUACGGGGCAUUUUAAAAUGGUGGCGCCCGGGAACAUGCAAAUGAAGCCCGGGAUAUUUAAAUCCUGGGCUUCAUUUGCAAGUUUGAAUGCUGACAUUAGCCACCCUAGUUCGAACGAGGGUGGCAGUGUAGACAGACCCUGAGCUACUUCUAUGGCUGGGGCAAGGGAGUAAGGGCACGUCUAUGCUUACCAGAAGAUAGACGCUCCGGAGGCAGAUCUUCUGGCAUUUGAUUGGCGGGAGUAGUAUGGACUCCUAAAUUGAAUGCUGAGGGCAGCUCCUGCUGGCAUCCAGUACUCCUCCUUUUGCAAGGGAGUAAGGGAAGCUGAAGGGAGCGUUUGCUCCCAUCUGCCUCCCACGCUGUGUACGCGACCAAGGCUUGGCUUAAGGUAAGCCAACCCCAGCUACAUAUUUUGCAUAGCUGGAGUUGCGCACCUUAAGUCAACCUUCUUGGUCUAGUGUAGACUUGGCCUAAGUGACUCCUGGGACCAGAGCUAUCCUUACCCUGCUAUUGCGCUGUUCUCUGGGCAUUCUCUCUCUCUGAUUUCCAUUUCUCAUCUUCUGUGGUUAUGUCAGAGCUGGGUUUACCGUGUCCUUGUAAAGCAAUGAGUGUAGAAAGGGAGUGGCAGUUUGUGUGGCUUUUGGAGACAACAGGGCCAUUUUAAACAGUUGUUUUCUGGGCUUGUGAACACCUCUUCACCUGGACUGUUUCUGGCCGUUUGUGCCCUCAUUUCCAGAGAUGCCAAGAAGCAGCAGUUACGAACUCCAACUCGUAAUUUCAUAAACUCCAUGGAAACAGGGACUAUUGGGAUCUUCUAGUGUGUCCUCCUGUAAAGCACAGAUCAGAGACCUGCCCUAACACAAUUCCUAGAGCAGAGUUUUGAGAAAAACAACCAGUCUUGGCUGAAAAAUGGUCAGUGAUGAAAAAUCCACCUGGACUCCUGAUAAGUAAGUUGAUCCAAGUUCAGCUGUGGGGACUCAGCCCUCCUAGAAAUCAAGCCCUUGAUGCCUACCAUCCUGGUCUGAUUGUAUUCCCAAAACGGAACUAGGACAACCAUGAGGCUCCAUAUGGAAUAUUUUUACUUGAAAGGCCAUUCCCUCAGGGACAACGAUAUGGUACAAGGACAGCCUCCUCUGCAAUGCAGGCUCCGGAGCAGCCCCCACUUGGUGCUAUGGCAGUAAUAGCCCUGAACUGGCAGGUAAAUCCCUACCUCUCUUAACCCACUUCUGCUGCAGCACCUGAACGGUGAUCACAGUCCAUCAUUUCUGCCCGCCAGGGGCUGCAGCAAGGAACACUAGACAUUGACUAACCAAAUUAAAUUCAGUGCCUGCUAAAUCAA